CAUUACAUCCCUACUCCUAUGUUCUUCAUUUUCAGAGAGGAUCUUGCUAUGUUUCCCAAUCCCACCUCCAAUUUACAAUGUUCCCACCUCAGCCUGGGGAUAGCUGGGAUACAAGCAUGUACCACCAUGUCUGGGUUCUGUGGUUCACAUUUUGCAUGAAGAUUGUAACUGUCCCCAGUGCCCCAUUGUGAAGUCUGUUUUAAUUUCAGGGUCUGCUGACGUUCAGGGAUGUGGCCAUUGAAUUCUCCCAGGAGGAGUGGAAGUUCCUGGUCCCUGCUCAGAGGGCUUUGUACAGGGACGUGAUGCUGGAGACCUACAGGAACCUGGUCUACCUGGCAGGAAUAUGUCCUUCAGACCUGAGUGUCCUCUGCUGGUUGGAGCUAGGGAGGGAGCCCUGGACUGUGAAUGGCCCAGAGGAAAUAUCCAGGCCUGCAAAUGAGUGGGCGUGUGUGGAGGGUGUGAAAGCAGAAGAACCGGAAACAAACAUUCCUCCAGCUCCUUACAAAUGUAAUGAGCUUGAAAAAUCCUUUAAUCAAGAAUCACACCGUCCUAUACAUCAGACAAUCUGUACUGGAGAGAAACGAUUUACUUGUGAAAUAUGUAGCAAAGUCUUCAAUAAAAAAUCUUAUCUUAUAAGUCA